GGAUAUGUAUUAUGCUUUCAUGAGAAGUUACCUUUUUUCUAAAUGCGUAUCUAAACAGAACACAUGAUCUUCGUUGUUGUAACGUAGUAAAAAAACUACCAAAAUGUCAAGAAGACAUUAUCAUGUAUUUUCGAUCGAGUAUCGCACAAUCUAAACUAAAAAUUAUAUUUUAUUAAACAUAUUUUUCAAGAAAGUAUGGCACUUACACGAAAUCUUACUUGUAAAUUAAAAUGUUAUUUAUUAAAAGUACCGAAAAAAAUUUGUUUGUAUCACGUAAGGCAUAUUAGAUUGGCAGAAGUGGGAAAAUUGGAAACACCAAAAUUACAAGGAAAAUAUGAAACUGGUCAAUUAAUUCUACACAGAGUAUUUGGUUAUCGUGGUGUAAUAUUGUUUCCUUGGACAGCACGGGUUUAUGACAGAGAUAUUCCAAAUAAAAAAGAAGGAAACACAAAUGAUCAUUACAAUAGUGUAGGAAAAGAAGUAAAAGGAAGAACUCAUACAUUUUAUCAGGUAUUAAUUGACCAAAGAGAUUAUCCUUUUAUACGUGCUCAAACAGAAGCUGUAACCUUUUUGAGUAAUCAUGAAAGCAGUCAUAGCUUAUAUACAGUACCAGGAUUAGAUUAUGUUGCUCAUGAAGAUAUUUUACCUUAUACUACAAAUGAAAAAACUGCAUUGCAACAUGAAUUAUUUGAUAAAUUCUUAGCAUAUAAUCCAAAUCAAGAACCAUGUUUUGUGGCACAAGAAACACUCAGAGCAUGGCAAAAAAAAAAUCACCCAUGGUUGGAAUUAUCAGAUGUACAUAAAGAAACUACUGAAAAUAUUCGUGUUACUGUUAUUCCAUUUUAUAUGGGUUAUAGAGGAAAUCAAGCUACUGCUGCACAUUGGAUAUGUUUAGGUUUAAAAGAUCUGGGAUGCUUAUCAAAUAACUUGAUAAAGACUUGGAAAUUUGAAAAACUUUGCAGCUCUGUAAGUAGUUAUAAGGCUGCAUACAACAUAUGGAAGCUCAUAAGAUACUUACAUUACUUAUAUACAUACAAAAUUGUUGGUAACUCAAAAACUGUGGCGUUAUUGCAUUCGUCUGGAAAAUUUGGGCGAUUUGAGCGUACAAUUACGUGAAAGACAUUGGAGGAUAUUUAGUCUCUCUGGUACAUUGGAAACUGUUCGAGGACGAGGAGUAGUUGGUCAGGAACCUGUUUUAUCAAAAAUAUUACCUGCUUUUCAAUAUAGUAGUCAUGUGAGUUUACAAGCUGCAAGUGGACAUAUGUGGGGUACAUUUAGAAUGGAAAGAGAAGAUGGGUAUGCGUUUGAUUGUAGAAUUCCACCAUUUUCUUUGGAAUCAAAAAUAGAAAAACCACCUUCAAAUAUGAAUUCUUAAUUAUGCAAUGUCCUAUGAGAAGUAAUAAUUAUUUUGAUAUAUUGAAAAUUAAUGAACAAUAUAACUCAAUAUAUAUGACUCUUAUAUAGUAAUAUUUAUAUUGGUUGUACUAUCUGAUUAUAAAUACUAUGAGUAGAAUUUAAGCUAUGUAGUUUUUGGUAUACAGUAAAUUUAUAACAAACAAUUUUUUCGUAUUAUUUAACAUGUUAUUUUAGAUAAGAUUAGUUAUAGGCAUACAAAUAAAAUAUAAUUGUAUAGA